GUGGGGAAUUUUGGACAAUGGGCGAAAGCCUGAUCCAGCCAUGCCGCGUGCAGGAUGAAGGCCUUCGGGUUGUAAACUGCUUUUGUACGGAACGAAAAGACUCUGGUUAAUACCUGGGGUCCAUGACGGUACCGUAAGAAUAAGCACCGGCUAACUACGUGCCAGCAGCCGCGGUAAUACGUAGGGUGCAAGCGUUAAUCGGAAUUACUGGGCGUAAAGCGUGCGCAGGCGGUUAUAUAAGACAGAUGUGAAAUCCCCGGGCUCAACCUGGGAACUGCAUUUGGGACUGUAUAGCUAGAGGACGGCAGAGGGGGAUGGAAUUCCGCGUGUAGCAGUGAAAUGCGUAGAUAUGCGGAGGAACACCGAUGGCGAAGGCAAUCCCCUGGGCCUGUACUGACGCUCAUGCACGAAAGCGUGGGGAGCAAACAGGAUUAGAUACCCUUGUAGUCC
rnacentral:rRNA from 1 species